AGAGACAUGAGAUUAAGGUUGACUAUUGUACACCACAGGUUUAUAAAAUUGGCAGUAUCUAAGGAGCCUAAAGUUUUUAGAAAUUUAACACAAAAGACAACUUGUAAAAGCACAAAAUAACAAAUAACAUUCGCUUAAAUGGAUAAUAAAUGGAAAAAGUACGUUCACAGGGAAGAUUCUUAGAUAUGAGUUUAAUCUUUUUAGAUGACUGCUGAAUAUGCAAGCUCCCUUUCUUAGCAAGGGAAAAGGCAAGCUCCAGGUGAAUUGUAUUCCUUUUCAAGACAUGGCAUGCUCAGAUGGAUGUGUGGGCAUACCAGGAGCGAUAGGAUUAGAAAUGAGGCUAUUCGGGACAAAGUAGGAGUGGCCUCGGUGGAAGAUAAGAUGCGGAAAAUGCGACUGCGAUGGUUCGGGCAUGUGAAGAGGAGAGACACAGAUGCCCUAGUGCGGAGGUGUGAGAGGUUGGCCAUGGAUGGUUUCAGAAGAGGUAGGGGUAGGCCGAAGAAAUAUUGGGGGAGGUAAUUAGACAGAACAUGGCGCAACUACAGCUUACCGAGGACAUGACCUUAGAUAGGAGGGUGUGGAGGACCCAUAUUAGGGUAGAAGGCUAGUACAUAGUCUCGUUAUUCGUCUGUAUUAGUAGGCAGAGUAGCGCACUAUAAUUUCUUGUGCUCUGACUUCUGUUAUUAUGUAUUACUUUUUGUACUUUGAUUACUCUAUUUUAUCUGUGUCGCUUUCAUUA